rnacentral:rRNA from 1 species
UACGUAGGGGGCGAGCGUUGUCCGGAGUUACUGGGCGUAAAGGGCUCGUAGGUGGCCAACUAAGUCAGACGUGAAAUCCCUCGGCUUAACCGGGGAACUGCGUCUGAUACUGGAUGGCUUGAGUUUGGGAGAGGGACGCGGAAUUCCAGGUGUAGCGGUGAAAUGCGUAGAUAUCUGGAGGAACACCGGUGGCGAAGGCGGCGUCCUGGACCAACACUGACACUGAUGAGCGAAAGCCAGGGGAGCAAACGGG